CAGGAUGAGCUCUACCCUGACAUCUGGUGGUGAAGUAUGGGGAGUAUGGAAAGGAAUUUCAGGCGCUGCUGUGUCACCAGAACAGAAGGCAGCUGGCUCACGGGCCAGACCAGCAAGCCGUGCAUAGGGAAGAGGAGAUGCUUCUUUCUUCACAGCGCUUUGCCCUCAAGGCCAGGAAAGUGUAUAACUAUGUGCGUGGCUGGAACUUGGAAAUGAAAGAAUUGUUCUCCUGGACAGUACCCUACUUGCUGAGCUCUCCCAAGAGAAUCCCUUGAUCUGCUUAUGCCUGUCUGAGGCCCUGCACAAGUCAAAAAGAUUAGGGGAAAGUCGGUGAGAAUUGAGACACGCCUGGCUCCAACAAACCAUUUACACCAAUUCACAAAGGAAAAACCUUGGAAGUGUUUCCAAAAAUACAGUCCAGGCGUGUGAGUUAAUGCUGGUAGAGAUCCUAAUGCACAGACUUUCCCCAUAAUCAGGGUUUACCUCAAGUCUGUUUAUUCUGUAAACUCUGGUUUCUCAACAGAAACAGCUCAUCACACUACACCCAUGUUGCACAGACAUGCCGAAAGUCUUUGCAAAGAACUAGAUAUAGAACAACCCAGCUGUUUCUUUUACUAAAACUGUGUGUUAGCAAACUCUCUCAUCAUUUUCCAGUGUUGCGGGGAGGGGGUGUACUAUUGGAAGCCGCCAGAUUGACGGCACUGAAAAGCAAAGUAGUUUCUUUAUCCAUAGAACAAUCACAGCAUGGAUGUUAGCAGUGUAUCUGUCCCCAGAAUGCCCACUG